UAGGGAAUCUUCCGCAAUGGGCGAAAGCCUGACGGAGCAACGCCGCGUGAGUGAUGAAGGUCUUCGGAUCGUAAAACUCUGUUAUUAGGGAAGAACAAAUGUGUAAGUAACUAUGCACGUCUUGACGGUACCUAAUCAGAAAGCCACGGCUAACUACGUGCCAGCAGCCGCGGUAAUACGUAGGUGGCAAGCGUUAUCCGGAAUUAUUGGGCGUAAUGCGCGCGUAGGCGGUUUUUUAAGUCUGAUGUGAAAGCCCACGGCUCAACCGUGGAGGGUCAUUGGAAACUGGAAAACUUGAGUGCAGAAGAGGAAAGUGGAAUUCCAUGUGUAGCGGUGAAAUGCGCAGAGAUAUGGAGGAACACCAGUGGCGAAGGCGACUUUCUGGUCUGUAACUGACGCUGAUGUGCGAAAGCGUGGGGAUCAAACAGG
rnacentral:rRNA from 1 species